ACUCCUACGGGAGGCAGCAGUGGGGAAUAUUGCACAAUGGGCGCAAGCCUGAUGCAGCCAUGCCGCGUGUAUGAAGAAGGCCUUCGGGUUGUAAAGUACUUUCAGCGGGGAGGAAGGCAAUACGGUUAAUAACCGUGUUGAUUGACGUUACCCGCAGAAGAAGCACCGGCUAACUCCGUGCCAGCAGCCGCGGUAAUACGGAGGGUGCAAGCGUUAAUCGGAAUUACUGGGCGUAAAGCGCACGCAGGCGGUCUGUCAAGUCGGAUGUGAAAUCCCCGGGCUCAACCUGGGAACUGCAUUCGAAACUGGCAGGCUUGAGUCUUGUAGAGGGGGGUAGAAUUCCAGGUGUAGCGGUGAAAUGCGUAGAGAUCUGGAGGAAUACCGGUGGCGAAGGCGGCCCCCUGGACAAAGACUGACGCUCAGGUGCGAAAGCGUGGGGAGCAAACAGGAUUAGAAACCCGAGUAGUCCC
rnacentral:rRNA from 1 species